rnacentral:rRNA from 1 species
AAUCAACGCUGGCGGCGUGCCUCAGAUAUGCAAGUCGAACGAUUAAAGCUCUCUUCGGAGAGUGCAUAGAGUGGCGCACGGGUGAGUAACACGUAAGUAAUCUACCUUCGAGUGGGGAAUAACAGUCGGAAACGACUGCUAAUACCGCAUAAAUGCAGCGGCAUCGCAAGAUGACAGUUGUUAAAGGAGCAAUCCGCUUGAAGAGGAGCUUGCGGCAGAUUAGCUAGUUGGUAAGGUAAUGGCUUACCAAGGCAACGAUCUGUAACCGACCUGAGAGGGUGGUCGGUCACACUGACACUGAAUAACGGGUCAGACUCCUACGGGAGGCAGCAGUCGGGAAGUUUUGGGACGAAUGGGCGCAAGCCUCGACCCAGCAACGCCGCGUGAAGGAUGAAGUC